rnacentral:rRNA from 1 species
CGAGCGAACAGAUGAGGAGCUUGCUCCUUUGACGUUAGCGGCGGACGGGUGAGUAACACGUGGAUAACCUACCUAUAAGACUGGGAUAACUUCGGGAAACCGGAGCUAAUACCGGAUAAGAUUUUGAACCGCAUGGUUCAAUAGUGAAAGACGGCCUUGCUGUCACUUAUAGAUGGAUCCGCGCCGUAUUAGCUAGUUGGUAAGGUAACGGCUUACCAAGGCAACGAUACGUAGCCGACCUGAGAGGGUGAUCGGCCACACUGGAACUGAGACACGGUCCAGACUCCUACGGGAGGCAGCAGUAGGGAAUCUUCCGCAAUGGGCGAAAGCCUGACGGAGCAACGCCGCGUGAGUGAUGAAGGUCUUCGGAUCGUAAAACUCUGUUAUCAGGGAAGAACAAACGUGUAAGUAACUGUGCACGUCUUGACGGUACCUGAUCAGAAAGCCACGGCUAACUACGUGCCAGCAGCCGCGGUAAUACGUAGGUGGCAAGCGUUAUCCGGAAUUAUUGGGCGUAAAGCGCGCGUAGGCGGUUUUUUAAGUCUGAUGUGAAAGCCCACGGCUCAACCGUGGAGGGUCAUUGGAAACUGGAAAACUUGAGUGCAGAAGAGGAAAGUGGAAUUCCAUGUGUAGCGGUGAAAUGCGCAGAGAUAUGGAGGAACACCAGUGGCGAA